rnacentral:rRNA from 1 species
CAGCAGCCGCCACGGGAAUACGGAGGGGGCUAGCGUUAUUCGGAAUUACUGGGCGUAAAGCGCACGUAGGCGGCUUUGUAAGUAAGAGGUGAAAGCCCGGGGCCCAACCCCGGAAUUGCCUUUUAGACUGCAUCGCUUGAAUCAUGGAGAGGUCAGUAGAAUUCCGAGUGUAGAGGUGAAACUCGUAGAUAUUCGGAGGAACACCAGUGGCGAAGGCGGCUCACUGGUCCAUUACUGACGCUGAGGUGCGAAAGCGUGGGGAGCAAACAGGAUUAGAUACCCGAGUAGUCCCUGUCUCUUAUAA